AAAUUGAAGAGUUUGAUCAUGGCUCAGAUUGAACGCUGGCGGCAGGCCUAACACAUGCAAGUCGAACGGUAACAGGAAGCAGCUUGCUGCUUCGCUGACGAGUGGCGGACGGGUGAGUAAUGUCUGGGAAACUGCCUGAUGGAGGGGGAUAACUACUGGAAACGGUAGCUAAUACCGCAUAACGUCGCAAGACCAAAGAGGGGGACCUUCGGGCCUCUUGCCAUCGGAUGUGCCCAGAUGGGAUUAGCUUGUUGGUGGG
rnacentral:rRNA from 1 species